rnacentral:rRNA from 1 species
UCCAGACUCCUACGGGAGGCAGCAGUGGGGAAUAUUGCACAAUGGGGGAAACCCUGAUGCAGCAACGCCGCGUGAGUGAAGAAGUAUUUCGGUAUGUAAAGCUCUAUCAGCAGGGAAGAGAAUGACGGUACCUGACUAAGAAGCCCCGGCUAACUACGUGCCAGCAGCCGCGGUAAUACGUAGGGGGCAAGCGUUAUCCGGAUUUACUGGGUGUAAAGGGAGCGUAGACGGCUGGCCAAGUCUGAAGUGAAAGCCCGGGGCUUAACCCCGGAACGGCUUUGGAAACUGGCCGGCUGGAGUGCUGGAGAGGCAGGCGGAAUUCCUGGUGUAGCGGUGAAAUGCGUAGAUAUUAGGAGGAACACCAGUGGCGAAGGCGGCUUACUGGACUGUAACUGACACUGAGGCACGAAAGCGUGGGGAGCAAACAGGAUUAGAUACCCGAGUAA